ACUCAAGGGCACUCGACUACUGAGCCACAUCCCCAGCCCUAUUUUGUAUUUUAUUUAGAGGCAGGGUUUCACUGAGUUGCUUAGCCCUCGCCAUUGCUGAAAUUGGCUUUGAACUCGCGAUCCUCCUGCCUCAGCCUCCCAGCCACUGGGAUUACAGGCGUGCGCUACUGCGCCUGGCUUAACCUGUUUCUUAAUUUACAAAAUGAAAAUUGUAGUAAUACCCGCCUAAGUGAAAUACUAAUAAUCCAUGUAAAAUAUCAGCUCAGUGCCUGGGACAUUUUUAAUUAAAUGAAUUAGUGAUAGUAAUUGCCUUUGUUUAUUAAAUAUUAACGUGUACCUGUGUUAAAUUUGGCAUCAAAGAGAUAAACUAGACAGGCCAAGCAGCCCUGGGUGGCUACCAAGAUGGAGUCUGGACCUUUACUUGCACCUCCUGUGAUGGAAGUGGCUUUGAGUUUGGGGCCUCUGGGGCUUUUCUUGAACCCAGAUUCCUGGAACUUCCCCAGUCCGGGAGCUAGCUGCACUAUUUUGAGUUACAAAGAGGCUCAAAACACAGCUUCAAGUAGGGAGCUACUGGAAGAAGUAUCCCCAAAAGGAAGAAAUCUGCUGACAUCCCUGGAGAAAGAAACAGGAGGUCCUGAGGAAGAGCAGAAGUGACAGAGGAAGCAGCUCCCAGCUUCAGCCUCUGCAAAUCACCUGCCAACAUGGAGGAUACAUGGGCAAUUAGUGUGGGGCAUAAAUUGGGGCUUGUUAAGGCAUUGAGACCAUAAGCUAAGACCUGCCAAAGAUCCCCACAAGUACUAGAGGAUCUAUACAAGUUAGAUAUAAAUGUUGCAUCCUAUCAUCUGAACAGGAGAAGGGGAUACAACCACUGCAGCCCAAGCCCAAAACUCUGGAGAACUAUGCCUGGAAGUACAAACCUUGUCCUGUUCCUGACUGAUUCCUGGCUGGAUCUACUGAAUUCCAGUUUCUGGGGGAACCUAGGUCUUGCAGCAAAAAUUGCCCUCAGGGUAAAGGAAUGGUCCUUGGAGCCAGAAGUAAAGCACUGGGAAUGAGACUUGUGCCUCUGCCUUAAGCACUUGACCUUACUUAUAGUUAAUUAAUUGUGUCAGUAUUUGUUUAAUUAAUUAUGUAAGACAGUGAUGCUAAUAUGUAAAUUAGUAUGUGUGCCAGGCACAGUUCUUGGACUUGGGGAUGCAAUAGGUGAAUGAGAUAGAAAUAUUUCCUGUGGAGGUUUUAUUUUGUGGGCAAAGAGAAUAUAAACAAUAAAAUCCAUUAUGUAACUUUUGAUCGUGAUAAGAGCUGUGAAGGAAAUAAAAGAGUAAUAGCAUGGAAUAGUGUGGUCAGGGAAUGUUUCUCCAGGGAGUCAAAAUGUGAACUAGGAUUGAAACAACAGAAAUAGCCACGAUAUCUGGAGAAGGAAUGUUUCAGGCAGGAAGAAAAGCAAGUGCAAAUUUCCUAAAACAGAAGGUGCCCUAUUUUUUAAGGGAAAUAGAUAAAGAAGGUGUUAUGGUUUGGAUCUUAAAUGUCCCCACAAAGGCCCAUAUGGUAAAGUCUUUGUCCCUAGCCUUAUUGGAAGGUGAUAGAAACUUCAGGAGGUGGGACCUACUGGAAGGAAAUUAGGUCAUUGGGAACAUGCCCUUGAAGGGAAUAUUUGGAUCCUAGCCCCUUUCCGCACCCCUGUCUCUCCCUGUUCCUCCUCUCUGCUUUCUGGUUGUCAUGAGAUAAAAGGCCUCCUCCAUCACCCAUUCCUACCACAAUGUUCUACCACAGGCUCAAAAUCAAUAAGGCAAAUCAACCAGGGGCUGAAACUGCGAUCCAAAAUGAACUUUUCCUCCUUUAAGUUGUUUACCUCAGGAUUUUGUCACAUCAAUGGAAACCUGACUAAUACCCAGUAUGGUGCGUCUUUCGAGAGAGGGGGAGCACAGGAAGAGCUGAGAUCAGAGUGAAAGUGUGCCCUAUUUGGAGAAGCUCCUCAGAAAGACACUAUGGGGAAAAGGAGGCAGUCAUACAUGGAGUAAUGGAGAUCUGAUUUGAACUUUAUCAGGAAAGAAGGAAGGAAAAGAGAGAAGGAAGACAGACCCAGCAGGGCUGUGGAGCAUGGACUGGGCCGCAGUGAGGAGACCAGGACUCUCUGGGAAACAUUUGGGAAACGACUAAGGCAGGGGUGGAUUCCAUCAUGUCAUCUGCAAAUAAUGAAGAGAAUCAUAGCACAGACACCCAGGGUUCUGGAAGAAGUCCUUAAUCUCACCUGCAAACAAUUGCCACCUUUGGAAAACCAGCUUCUGGCUGACAACUGGGCUCUGGAAGAAGCUGAUCGCCUGACUAUGAAACACUAAUGGGAACUGCCCAGCAUGAACUGAAAAUUAUCCAAUCCAUUGAACCGUAAAGUUGGAGAUGCAAGUCAGCAUUCCAUUAUAAAAUUUAAGGAGUUUAUUCUUUAUUCUUUAUAAAUAUUUAAAGCUGUAAAUUUCACUGCUUUAGCUGCACCUUGCAAAUUUUAAAUUUUGUUAUCAUUCUAAUUUCCUUUAUGAUUGCUUUGGCCAAUGAUUAUUUGGAAGUAUGUUGCUUAAUUUCCAAAUAUUUGAGUUUUCUAGAUAUCUUAUGAUUAUUGGUAUCUAAUUUAAUUCCACUGUAGUCAGAGAAUUUAUUCCAUAUGAUUUAAAUCCUUUUAACUUUAUUGAAACUUGUUUUAUGGCCUAGCAUAUGGUCCAUUAGUGAACAUAGCACAUGUACUUGGGGGAAAAGAAGCGUAUCCUGCAAUUGUUUGGCAUGAGGUUCUAUAAAUGUCAAUUAGGUCAAUAUGAUUGACAGUAGUUCAUAUCAUUUAUGUCUUGAUUAUUUUUUUUCUAAUAUUCCAUUGAUUGCUAAGAAGGGUGUUAAAAUCUCCAACUAUAAUUGUAGAAUUGUCUACCUCUUUUUAAAAUUUUAUCCAUUUUUGCUCGACAUAUUUUGAAGCUCUAUUACUAGGAAAAUAUACAUUUAUAAUUGUUAUGUUUUCCAGGUGAAUGGACCUUUGUAUCAUUACAAAAUAUCCAUAUUUAUCUCUGAUAAUAAUCUUUAUAUUGACAUGUACUUUAUCUGAUAUUAUAACCACUCCAGACUUUGUAAGCUUACUGUUUGCACAGUAGACCUUUUUCCUCCAUUUUUCCCCAACUUACUUGUAUGUUUAUACUCAAAGUAGUUAUUUGAGUUUGCCUCUUUUUGUUCAUUUGAACCAUCUCUGUCACUUAAGCCCAUAGGGGUUGGUUGAGGGAUAAGCAGGAAAGGAGAACAUUGUGGUCCUGGUCUCGUUUGUACCCUUUCUACUUGAUGACAAAUUGCUAUAAGACACUAGAGACUUUGUGCCAGAUCAAAUAGUUUUCAGGUUAUGACAGACAGGUUAAGUUUCAAGAUCAUGUGGUAAUCCCCUGGACAUUUAGUCUAUGUGAGGGCCCAGGAGCAAGAUGAAGUUGUUUCUCAAAAGGAGUUCAGCAAUUUGCUAAAGAUGACAUGGCUUUCUUCACAUAUUCUAGUGACUUCUUCUGCAGUCUUCCUAUACUUCCCCCACACACAUUAGGAAUUGAACCCAGGGACGCUUUACCACUGAGCUACAACCCCAGUCCUUUUUAUUUAUUUAUUUAUUUAUUUAUUUUAUUUUGAGACAGGAUCUCCCUGAGUUCCUGAAGACCUCGCUAAAUAGCUGAGACUGGCCUGGAACUUGUGAUCCUCCUGUCUCAGGCUCCCAAGUCUCUGUGCCAUCACACCCAGCUCCCUUGGGUUUGCUAUAUGUUCCAUCAGAAUAGUGACCUAAACAUGAUUAGAGUGUGGGUCAUGGAAAUCAGCUGGCAUAUCUGCUUACAUAGCAGCCUAGACCACUUGAGGACUUUUUUCUUAGAUUUCCUCUCAAAACUGCAGCCAUUCAGGUAACUGAAAUUAUCUUUCAGGUAAAUGGGCAGGUAUAAGACACCCAAAUAUGGGGUGUGUUGCCUCAGAAUUCCAAGAAGGCAGCCAAAUACUAUAUUUCAACUAAUCUAAGAUGUCUUCAGUUGUAAAGUACACUACUGAUAUUCCACUGUGAAUAAUUUUUUUAAAUGCUGUCAAUAAAACCAUGAUAUGCCAUUGAUCAUGGGAUACACUGGCAUAUUAAAACUGGGGGGAUGAUGACAACCUUAUAAAUGCACUAAAUGCCACUGAAUUUUUCACUUUAAAAUGGUUAAUUUUACAUUGUGUUGAUUUCAUCUCAAUAAAUAACUUAUGUCCUUUAGAAUCAA